CCGUCUAGAGCACUUUUUCUUGCGGGAAGUGUGUAACCCUAAAGAUCUUGUAGUUGUAGGCUAUAGACUUGCAAUGGUUUUGCACCUGAACCAGUUUUGUUGGUGAAGUCGGGUAUAGUAUGCAAAUCUGUUAUUUGCCUCCCAGAUUUCCUGCCAUUCUACUCCUUCAAGUUUUUCACCUAAGUCUGCUUCCCACUGAUCAAUGUACGUGAGUGUUCCCCGUUCAGUUGUGUUGGAGGCUAUGUGUGAAGAGAUGGAUGAAAUCAUCUUUCUGUGGUUGUUUUCCUUCAGGCACAUGUUUUCUAGUUUGGUAAUGUUUUUGGUUGUCAAUUCCUUUAUGUGAGGUUGGGUAAGAAAAUCUCUAAGUUGCAUGUACCGAAAGAGGUCUCCAGUUGUAAGGGUCUCCCUCUCUUUUAGUUCGUCAAAGGUGUGUAAGCGGUCUCCGUUAGUCGUGUGACACAGCCUUUG